UACGGAGGGUGCGAGCGUUGUCCGGAAUCACUGGGCGUAAAGGGCGCGUAGGUGGCGCAGGAAGUCAACGGUGAAAGUUCGGGGCUCAACCCUGAAUCGGCCGUCGAUACUCCUGGGCUCGAGCACUGUAGAGGCAGAUGGAAUUCCGGGUGUAGCGGUGGAAUGCGUAGAGAUCCGGAAGAACACCGGUGGCGAAGGCG
rnacentral:rRNA from 1 species